GGGGGGGUCGUGGGGGCUGGUUACUACUGACCCUGUUAACCUUUGGCUGGGUGUGUGAGGCUGGCCUGGGGUUUGGUUUGAGACUGAGGGUGUUACCUUGUUGAGGCUGGGCUGGGUGGUCAUGCUGAGGGUUUUGCCCCUGUGGUUGUUGGGCUGGGGGGUCAGGCUGAGGGUGUUGCCCCUGUUGAUGUUGGGCUGGGGGGUCUGGCUGAGGGUGUUGCCCCUGUUGAUGUUGGGUUAGGGGGUCUGGCUGAGGGUGUUGCCCCUGUUGAUGUUGGGCUGGGGGGUCUGGCUGAGGGUGUUGCCCCUGUUGAUGUUGGGCUGGGGGGUCUGGCUGAGGGUGUUGCCCCUGUUGAUGUUGGGCUGGGGGGUCUGGCUGAGGGUGUUGCCCCUGUUGAUGUUGGGCUGGGGGGUCUGGCUGAGGGUGUUGCCCCUGUUGAUGUUGGGCUGGGGGGUCUGGCUGAGGGUGUUGCCCCUGUUGAUGUUGGGCUGGGGGGUCUGGCUGAGGGUUUUGCCCCUGUUGAUGUUGGGCUGGGGGGUCUGGCUGAGGGUGUUGCCCCUGUUGAUGUUGGGCUGGGGGGUCUGGCUGAGGGUUUUGCCCCUGUUGAUGUUGGGCUGGGGCGUCUGGCUGAGGGUUUUGCCCCUGUUGAUGUUGGGCUGGGGGGGUCAGGCUGAGGGUGUUGCCCCUGUUGAUGUUGGGCUGGGGGGUCUGGCUGAGGGUGUUGCCCCUGUUGAUGUUGGGCUGGGGGGGUCUGGCUGAGGGUUUUGCCCCUGUUGAUGUUGGGCUGGGGGGUCUGGCUGAGGGUGUUGCCCCUGUUGAUGUUGGGCUGGGGGGUCUGGCUGAGGGUGUUGCCCCUGUUGAUGUUGGGCUGGGGCGUCUGGCUGAGGGUUUUGCCCCUGUUGAUGUUGGGCUGGGGGGGUCAGGCUGAGGGUGUUGCCCCUGUUGAUGUUGGGCUGGGGGGUCUGGCUGAGGGUGUUGCCCCUGUUGAUGUUGGGCUGGGGGGGUCUGGCUGAGGGUUUUGCCCCUGUUGAUGUUGGGCUGGGGGGUCUGGCUGAGGGUGUUGCCCCUGUUGAUGUUGGGCUGGGGGGUCUGGCUGAGGGUGUUGCCCCUGUUGAUGUUGGGCUGGGGGGGUCUGGCUGAGGGUUUUGCCCCUGUUGAUGUUGGGCUGGGGGGGUCUGGCUGAGGGUUUUGCCCCUGUUGAUGUUGGGCUGGGGGUCUGGCUGAGGGUGUUGCCCCUGUUAGCCCCACCCCCACAGCCCAGCCUCACAACCCCAGUUCAGCCUCAGUAGGGACAACAGUGGCAGCAGAGCCCCCUAUCUCCCCCAGGCUGUAAGGACAAGAUGUCUCUCUACCUAACCAUUUAGAUUACUGACUGCCUGAACUUGGGCCAUAAUAACAUGUAAUCCAUGUUACAUUUAACAGAUCUCUUUCUGGACUUUCCAUAAGGAAGUGUGAUGUUUCAAAUACUAUAUGAAUUUCCUUCAAUAGUACUCAAAACUGUAUCGUAUACAGCAAUUAUUUUACCCAUCAAGAGUCCUCUUGUAUUCUAUAUUGCAACAGAGCAUGUCCAUAACAAACUUUCCCCAAAUAAAUCUGUGCAUGUAGCUAUUAUUUAAA
ensembl:lncRNA